UACGUAGGAUGCUAGCGUUGUCCGGAUUUACUGGGCGUAAAGCGCGCGCAGGCGGCACUGUAAGUAAGGUGUGAAAUCUCCCUGCUCAACGGGGAGGGUGCACUUUAGACUGCAGAGCUAGAGGACGGUAGAGGGGGCUGGAAUUGCUGGUGUAGCGGUGAAAUGCGUAGAGAUCAGCAGGAACACCCGUGGCGAAGGCGGCCCCCUGGGCCGAACCUGACGCUGAGGCGCGAAGGCUAGGGGAGCGAACGGG
rnacentral:rRNA from 1 species